rnacentral:rRNA from 1 species
GCCUUCGGGAACUCUGAGACAGGUGCUGCAUGGCUGUCGUCAGCUCGUGUUGUGAAAUGUUGGGUUAAGUCCCGCAACGAGCGCAACCCUUAUCCUUUGUUGCCAGCGGUCCGGCCGGGAACUCAAAGGAGACUGCCAGUGAUAAACUGGAGGAAGGUGGGGAUGACGUCAAGUCAUCAUGGCCCUUACGAGUAGGGCUACACACGUGCUACAAUGGCGCAUACAAAGAGAAGCGACCUCGCGAGAGCAAGCGGACCUCAUAAAGUGCGUCGUAGUCCGGAUUGGAGUCUGCAACUCGACUCCAUGAAGUCGGAAUCGCUAGUAAUCGUAGAUCAGAAUGCUACGGUGAAUACGUUCCCGGGUCUUG